ensembl:rRNA 5S_rRNA 5S ribosomal RNA
GCUUACGGCCAGACCACCCUGAACACGCCCGAUCUCGGAAGCUAAGCGGGGUUGGGCCUGUUUAGUACUUGGAUAGGAGACUGCCUAGGAAUACCAGGUGCUGCAAGCU